GACGAACGCUGGCGGCGUGCUUAACACAUGCAAGUCGAACGGUAAGGCCCUUCGGGGUACACGAGUGGCGAACGGGUGAGUAACACGUGGGUGAUCUGCCCUGCACUUCGGGAUAAGCCUGGGAAACUGGGUCUAAUACCGGAUAGGACUCCUGGCUUCAUGGUUGGGGGUGGAAAGCUUUUGCAGUGUGGGAUGGGCCCGCGGCCUAUCAGCUUGUUGGUGGGGUAAUGGCCUACCAAGGCGACGACGGGUAGCCGGCCUGAGAGGGUGACCGGUAACACUGGGACUGAGAUACGGCCCAGACUCCUACGGGAGGCAGCAGUGGGGAAUAUUGCACAAUGGGCGCAAGCCUGAUGCAGCGACGCCGCGUGAGGGAUGACGGCCUUCGGGUUGUAAACCUCUUUCAGCUAUGACGAAGCGCAAGUGACGGUAGUAGCAGAAGAAGGACCGGCCAACUACGUGCCAGCCGCCGCAGUAA
rnacentral:rRNA from 1 species